CGCAGUCCUUACUCAUGCUGGAGAGUUUAGCGCGUCGCUUGUAGCGGAGGUAGGUCAUCGCGCACACGAUCACCACGAGGAACACGGCUAUCGUCGCUCCGCCGGCUAUGCUCGCCUGCGAUAGCAUAUUAUCGAAAAACUUACGUAAAUACGAUCGAUCCAAGUCCUUGUAUUCACAUCGAACGCCCAUGUAACCAGGAGAACAUCUAAAAAGCGAUGUGAGUUUGUACUUACUCGCAAUUGUAUAGCAAAGAAGGACCUAUUUUCACCGUGAAACAUGUCGCCCCAUUGAGGCAAUACCACGCCGCGUAGUCCGGAGGGCAUUCGUAUGUGUGGAAUGUGACGUUCGGUCGCGACGUCGGCGGCCGUGGUUUCGGCGUUGUGCGGGACGAACACGCAUCUGCAAAAACAAAGUGAGAUACAUCGCUUUGAUAAUAUAUGGAUACGAAAUUAAAACAUCAGGAGGAGCCCCGAUUCCCAUCGUUAAUAACACCGCGGGCAGCGAACGAGCGAACUAGGUUGCCUGCGUGCGCAUACAUCUUACAAUUCGAACAAACGCCGAACUCGCAAUCGAGAAAGUAUUAUAUUUGAUUAUGCGCCACAACAAAACUUUCAUAUAUGGCGCGCCGACGACGAGUUUACUCAUAGGUGGUCCGGUUCUUCAUCCCACAUAUUUAACAAUACUUCACACGAAUCACACGCUCGACAUCAGAGUAUCAGACGGAGAACAACUAGCGCAGAAUCAAAGAAUCAAAGAAUCAAAAUCGGAAUCGGAAUGAACAAGUGGUAAGGCAGCCAUUUUGAUUUCGGCGGAUGUCAAUGGCGCCCAUGAGACAAAUUCAUUUUCAUUGAUUGUAUAAACUUGGUAGGUAUAUAUACAAUGUGUUCACAGGUAGAAUAAUAAAAAAUGUAUGCGUUUGUUGAAUGUGUUGACGUGGUUGGGCCGUGCACGUUCGGGAAUGUGUCAAGACGAAAAUUAAGCCGAUUGUAAAUUAUAAAUCACACGCCGCUGUGUGUGUGUAUGAAGAGGUGCCGGCGCGCUUGUUCCCACAAGAUUUAUGGAAUCGAGCGCUUCACGCCCCGGCACUAUUUCAUCCGAAAACGAAGCCGACGCCGCCACGACGACGACCAAGAGGAGAGCGACCAUAUCGAAACCGAUCGGAUAAUAAAAACUGGAGCUGACCAUCGCGCCAUCGCGUCCUUCGAUAAUGUCCGGCCGCAUUCCGAUACAAUUUGUAAGUUUUCCCAAGCACCACAAAACAAAACAAAACAGAAACAAGGCGAAGAGGAGACAACAAGUUAAGUUAAGAAGAAGUAAUCAACGAAAGUGUUCAAUUUAAGGGGAUUAACUACC